rnacentral:rRNA from 1 species
UACGUAGGGUGCAAGCGUUGUCCGGAAUUAUUGGGCGUAAAGAGCUCGUAGGCGGUUUGUUGCGUCGGCUGUGAAAUCCCGAGGCUCAACCUCGGGUCUGCAGUCGAUACGAGCAAACUAGAGUGUUGCAGGGGAGACUGGAAUUCCUGGUGUAGCGGUGAAAUGCGCAGAUAUCAGGAGGAACACCGGUGGCGAAGGCAGCUCGCUGGGACGGUACUGACGCUGAGGCGCGAAGGCGUGGGGAGCGAACAGG